rnacentral:rRNA from 1 species
AUUGAACGUUGGCGGAAUGCUUUACACAUGCAAGUCGAACGGUAGAGGGGGCAACCCCUCGAGAGUGGCGAACGGGUGAGUAAUAUAUCGGAACGUGCCCAGUCGUGGGGGAUAACGUAGCGAAAGUUACGCUAAUACCGCAUACGAUCUAAGGAUGAAAGCGGGGGAUCGCAAGACCUCGCGCGAUUGGAGCGGCCGAUAUCAGAUUAGGUAGUUGGUGGGGUAAAGGCUAACCAAGCCAACGAUCUGUAGCUGGUCUGAGAGGACGACCAGCCAAACUGGAACUGAGACACGGUCCAGACUCCUACGGGAGGCAGCAGUGGGGAAUUUUGGACAAUGGACGCAAGUCUGAUCCAGCCAUUCCGCGUGCAGGAUGAAGGCCCUCGGGUUGUAAACUGCUUUUGUACGGAACGAAAAGGUCUCUCUUAAUACGGGGGACUCAUGACGGUACCGUAAGAAUAAGCACCGGCUAACUACGUGCCAGCAGCCGCCGUAACAC